CAAUGCCAGAGCCACAGCAACGCCAGAUCCCAGCCACAUCUGCAACCUACACCACAGCUCAUGGCAACGCCAGACCUUAACCCACUGAGUGAGGCCAGAGAUUGAACCCGCAACCUCAUGGUUCCUAGUCAGAUCCAUUUCUGCUGCGCUACGAUGGGAACUCCUAAAUUGACUUUUCAAUUCUGAUGUUUAUGUACAUGUGUUUUUAUGUAGUUAAAAUUAUCCUCUACAUAUAUUUUAUAAUCUGCUAUUUUCUUUGGCAUUUCUUUUCUGCAUUUCUACAAGGCUUGGCAAUGAUCGAUUUGAUGACGACAUUAUAUUCUAUUUAAUUACUAAAAUUGAAUUUUUAUAAUCAUUUAAAUAUCUACUUUUUAAGCGUUUAUCUAUAUAGCUAGCACACCAAUUAAAUAAUGCAAAUGAUAAUUCUGAAAUUAAUGGUAGCAGGUAUAAUUUAUGAAACACCUUUUUGGUGUUUCAUAAAAAUUCUAUGUCAUUCUUUGAAUAACUGUAUGAAUUAUGCAUUAAUAUGUUCUUAUUAAAGAUGAAACAAGUGUAAAGAAAGUAAGUAACCCAUUGAUUACAAAGCUAGUGAGAAAUUGAACUAGAAUUCAAUCUGGGUUUGUCUGAUUGUAUUUCUGACUCUGAGCUUUUUCUGUUAGUGUUUCUAUAAUUGUGUUCCAUAAUUGUUAACAGGAAAUAAUAACAGCGAUGAAUACUAGUUUUAAUUCAGUUUUCUGAAUCCCAUAUCUAUUUCAGGAUUUUUAUGACCAUUAUCUUUUAGUUUCCAGUAUUAUCAUUAAAAAGAACAGUCACUUUCAGAGUCUCAUCUUAGGUGUAGGAGUUCUCCCUGUCCAGUGUCUGGAAUGUUUUUAGCAUCUUCUCUUUUUCCUUAGUGUUUUUAUACUUUCUUAAUAAUUUACCUUGUUGUUUGUUCGAUUUUCAUCCUUUGACCUGGGUUUGGGAGUUUUUCAUGUUUUAUUUCUUUGGUAGUUUCCUGUCUUCUAAUUUUGCUGUUGUUGACAAUUUUGUUGUUGUUGUUGUUGCAGAAUUUUAUUUGGAUGUUGGACCUCUUAGACCCUGAUUGUCAUAUCUUUUGUUUUCUAUUGUUCAUUUCUCUAUCAUUUUAUUUCUACCUUAGAGAAGAGUUUUUAGCUUUAUCUUUGAAUCCUUUUAUCACUAUGUUUUUGUUUUUGUUUCUUACCAUUGCUGAUCUUUCUUGUUCUCUGAAAAUUUCUUUUCUUUAGUUUCUAAUUCUUGUUUCUGGGAUACAAUGUAGUUUCUUAUUUCCGUGAGGUUUUUAAAUAAAUUUUUGAAGUUUCUUCUGUUUCCUGAAUUGAAUGAUUUUCUCCAAGUUCACCAUUUUCUGUUUCUGUGGUUUGAAUUCCUGUCUGUUAUGAGCAGAGCUUGUUGAUUGGGUAGCUUCACUGAGAUGUGAUUGAGCAAUGAACUGUCCUCUUUGUUGGAAGAUCACCAAAAGUCAGUAUCUCCAGGUGUUUACUCCUAGGCAAUUCAGAUUAUAGGGAGAGGAAUUUUCCGGUGUCUUGGCUCUGGAAGAAAAGCCUGGAUGCCAGCUUCUGGGAGGCAGUCAGUAGAAAGGGAGGGAAGGGAGUGGUAUAAUAAACAUUUACUUAAUCCCAGUUGUUAAACAAGGCAAUUUAUUCCACUUUCAACUCUUUUUGUUGACUCAUUAUCUAAGUCCUCUCUGGUUCAACCCUCUACAGAAUAAAAUUCCAGUCAGCUACUUGAGUAGUCACCUGGCUACUGAGUAAGGAAGAUCAGUUUGGCAUCUUCUUUUAAAAAAUUGUGAACAAAUCUUUCCAUUUAAAGCCCUACCCUAUUCCACCCUUCUAUCCAGAAAUACAAUUCCUAAGCUUUUCUGAGGUUCUAAAAUAGAACUGCCUCUCUCUCUUUCCCCUCUUUCUCCCUUUCUUCCUGCCUACCUCCUUUUCUUUCUCCCUUAUCUUCUCACUCCUUGGCUUAACUUUAAUCAAUCCAGCUUUCAGUUUCCAAAAGUGUUUUGAUAUCAUCAUCUGUUUUUGUCUCCUUUUUCAUUUUUGCUUGUGUAGUACGAUUUAAAAAAUAUAUAAAUAUACUGUCAUUUAAAUGGUGUUUCAGAAAGGAGUAGAGAUAAACACAGGUUUAAUCCACUAUAUUUUAAAAACCUCAUUUUAUGAUAUGACCACCCAUUCAAGAAUAUGUCUCCAUUUAUUUAAGUCAAAUCUACUAAUUAAAUUUAAUGUUUGUCUUCAUAGAGAUUAAAUGCAGCUUUUAUUAAGUUACAUUCUAAAUAAUGCAGUUUUUCCUUGUUAUUUAGAAUGAACUCUCUUUUUCCUUUCUAUUUUCUACCUAGUUAUAACUUGGUGAUAUUACUUUAGUGUACUUAUAUCUGGAAAAUUUAUUAAACUCAUUGGUUCUAUAAUUUCUGCACUGGUUGUUUUAGAUUUCAUAGCAUAUAAUCAUUUUAUUCAAAUAAUAUUUUAUCUCUCUAUGUGUUUUAUUAAUCUAUUAUGUUUCUUUUUCUGUUUUUAUGUAUAAAAAUAUUCAAAAAUAUUUAAAAUAAUAUUGGUAAUAAUUAAUAUCCUUAUUUGACCCCUAAUUUGGAAGGAAUACUUUUAGUAGAGUUCUAAUGGAUAUAAUAUGGACUUCUGUUUUGAAAUGUCAUUAUUUUUAGAAUGUAUUUUAAGACAAACUAAAAAACUGAAAAAAACAUGUCCAAAGUUCACAGAAGCCAACUUUAAAGGGGCUCCAUCUGGACAUAUUUGGGACACUCAUGUCCCCAAUCAAAUAAAUAAUGAUAAAAAUGGGUUAUAACACACUGAUUUAAAAACAGUAAUCCAUAAGUCACAUCGAUACAUAAAUUAGAAAACAGAUGAUGGAAAGUGCUUUUUUAUAGAAGAAUGCCUGCUAAUAAAUGUAGAAAGUAUAUGAGGAAUGGAAAAUUACUUUUAUUUACAAUAAAUCAAUUCAGGCAAUAGUCACCAGUUGAUGCUAAAAUUAUUGGGUAAAAAAAUAAAAAUAGAAAUAUAAUUAUCUUCUUUAAUAAAAAUAAAAUUAUCUGGAUCAAUUCACAGAUAACUUAUUAAUAAGAAAGAUACUUACAAAAUGGAGAAAUCUGGCAGCUACCAUCUUAACUAUAUGAUUAAAUUUCACAACACCAGUAAAGGACAGUGUCGCAUCACGUGCCUCCUAAUAUGUUGUACUUCAGAAGAGGAAAAGGUGCCUCUUUUGUUAUAUUCCUGACAAUAAUGUGUAACCUAAGUAGAAUCCUCAGACAAAUUUGAAAUGAGAGGAAGAGUCUGAAAAGCAACUGACCUAGACUCUUCCAAAAUGUCAGUGAUGUGGAAAAACUAAACAAAAGUAGGGAAUUUCUCUAACUGAAAAGAGAAUGAUGAUUGUUUGGAUCCUAAUUUUAAAAAGAAAACAAUAAAACAGCAAAACCAACAGAAGGUUAGAGUGCCUUGGAGACAAAUGGCAAAAGAAAUACAGAUUGUAAAUUAUAUGCAGUAUCAGUGUAAAGUUUCCUGAACAUGAUAAUUAUAUCAUCGCAGUUAUGUAGAGUGUCACUGUUUGGUGAUACAUACUGAAGUACAUAUGGAUCAAGUGCCAUGGACUUUUACAAGUAACUCUCAAAUGGUUCAGCAAAAGCAGUGUAUGUAUGUAUACAGAUAUGCACACAUACAAGCAGAUACCCAUAAACAGGGAAGGGCAAAUGUGGCAAGCGGUUAAAAAUAUGUUAUUAAACUAGGUCGAGGGUAUUCUCUGUGGCUACUGCGAUUGGAAGUUACUUAAGUUUGAAAUUUUUCAGAGAAGUUGGAAAAGUGAAAUAUCUUUUUGUAAUUUUAAUAUGUAUUAUCAGAUCUAAAUUUAGCUAUUCUAUAUCUACAACAGUAUCUCUUUAGUAGUAAUUUCUCUAACAGUUUUAUUUAUUUAUUUAUUUAUUUAGUCUUUUUUUGCCUUUUCUUGGGCCGCUCCCUCGACAUAUGGAGGUUCCCAGGCUAGGGGUCGAAUCAGAGCUGUACCCUCUGGCCUACACCAGAGCCACAGCAACGCAGCAUCUGAGCCGCGGCUGCAACACAUGCCACAGCUCACGGCAACACCGGAAACUUAAACCACGGAGCAAGGCCAGGGAUCGAACCCGCAACCUCAUGGUUCCUAGUCGGAUUCGUUAACCAGUGCGCCACGCUGGGAACUCCUACCAGUUUAUUUUAAUUAAUGUUUUUUCAGCCUGUAUAAGAAAUUGCGUGCGCAUGUGUGUGUGUGUGAAUGUAUGUGUACACAUAAGCAUUUGUGAAAACCUCUGCUUUCUGUACUGAAAUCCUAUUCCCCAAGGAAUAUCCUCAGUAUGUAUAUUUUUUAUACCAUAUUAUCUUUUCUUGAAUUAUUUUCCUAAAAUGGCUUAACAAACCUUUGGACCAAAUACUUUCUACUUGGUGCAAAAGGAAUGUCUUUAUAAAUUUUUCACACAUUUCAAAUUUUAAAAAGCACAAGGAAUUAUUACAUGAGCCUCCUUGCAGUUCAUGGUCUCUUAAUACUUAAUAAAAAUAGAGUCGAAAGUGCUAUUUCUUCUCUUAACAAAUUUAUAAUUUUAAAAUGCUUAUCACUGAGUCAUUAUCUGCUUUUCCGCUCAAUUAUACUAAUUUGUAUUUAAAUCUAUUUCCCAUCAUAAUUCUGUUUAUGGCUUGUCGGUCUCAUUUGGUCUAUUAUUAUGGUGCUGAACUUGAAAUUUUAAAAAAAAAUCUUUCAAUCAGACUCAGAAAUCCUGUGAAUAGCUUUAAAACUCAGGCAUCUGUUGGUAAUCUAAAAGUUUCAUUAGACCAGAAAAGUACAUAAUAAUCAUCAACAUUACUUCUACUCUAACAUACCGUGAGUCACCCCUCUAUUGUGUGGCACCGGCAGCUCUUCACUUCCAAACUGUAGCCAGAAAGCUUGCUGACUUUAUCUCACAAAUUCUAUCUCAAAGGCCUCAGGCGAGGUGGGGUUUGAGAAAGAGGUAGUAUGACUUAGAGCAUCUUCUUAUAAUAAUUCUUUCAAUGAUUGAUGCUUCCCUUUUGCACAUAAAGUUUAACUCUUAGAAAAUAGCAGUUGCGUUGUAUUUCGUCUCUUGGAAAUAUUUCCUUGUGGGAAACUUUCUGCUUUAUAGUAACUGCUCUCGAACUUGUACUAUUGAUAUUUUUGGCAUUUACUGUUAACAGCCUCUAAUCUCUAGGUAAAAAGUUGACAUGCCCAGUUUUGUUAGAGGAUAGAAGAGCUUAAAAUGACAUGCGUGAAGGAAUCGUUUCUCUGCUUAUGCUGUUGCAAUGGAAUGUGAGUAGCCUCAGACACCUUACUGUGUUGUGAAAGCCGAUUUUCAGCCUGGAAGAGGCUACUAGGUAGGGUAGGAAAAGAUGGUGAAACUGCAUUAAUAAAUGAUGUACUUUGCUUUUGUAGACCAUUUUUUCCUUCUCUGUGAAUAAUCUGAAUAUCAUGACAUACUGUAUGGUAAAUAUAAUACAGCAUACAAUUUUGAUUCUUUUCUAUUUUUAAACUAGUAAUUUUGUUAUUACAGAGUAAGAUUUUUUUCUUUUAGAAACUAAAAAAGAUGAAAAUAAAAAACGCAUGUGGGGUUCCUGUCGUGGCUCAGUGGUUAACGAAUCCGACUAGGAACCAUGAGGUUGCGGGUUCGAUCCCUGGCCUUGCUCAGUGGGUUAAGGAUCUGGCGUUGCCUUGAGCUGCGGUGUAGGUUGCAGAUGCGGCUCGGAUCCCGCAUUGCGUGGCUCUGGUGUAGGCUGGUGGCUGCAGCUCCGAUUUGAUCCCUAACCUGGGAAUCUCCAUUUGCCGAGGGAGCGGCUAAAGAAAUGGCAAAAAGACCAAAAAAAAAAAAAAAAACUAGGAAAACAGAUGUAACUGCAACAUCCAGAGAUAAUCAUUUCAGUGCUUAUCCUUCCAGAUCGUUCUCUUUAGGGACAUCUGUUUUUUAGGUGAGUUCAUAUGGUAUAUGCCCCUUUACUUGAAAUUUUUUUCAUUAACAAUAUAUUGUGGACAUCUUUCCAGAUUAUUUAAUUUUCUUCUAGACUAUUAUUUUAAGUAGCUGUACAAUAUUGUGUAUUUGUUCCAUGACUUAUUCAAAUAGCUUCUGUUACUGAUUUAAUUUUUUUAUUUUACUAGUGUUCUUAUUACAUUGAUGAAAUAAAAUCUUUGGUCACAAUUUCUUUUAAAUAAAAAAUAUAAUAGCUAGAUCAAAGAGGUUGAAAUUUUAAAAUUUUUAUACGUAUUGCUUAACUGCUUUUUUAAAAAGUACUCUAUCUUGAAAUAGCUUAAUAUAAUUUUUAGAGAAAACCAAUAAAGAAAGUGGCUGGUUUAAAUACUGAGAACUCUACAUAAUCUCUUAGCAAUCUAUAACAUUGUUGGUUGAUUUUAUGAAGGUGAGAAUAAAUUAGUUAUUUCCUGCUAUCAUUAGGAAUAACAUUAAAAAUUUCCGGUAUAAAUUAAAAGUGAGAAAGAGCAUAAGACAUUUUACCAAUAUUAUAAAAGCUAUGAGUUUAUAUAGGAAACAAUUUGAUGAAUGUAGUCUUUCCUUCUUUUUUCCCAAAAUAGAGAUGUUUUUAUUAAUAUUCUAAAUAAUAAAAAUAACAUGAGCUCAUGUUGCAAGUCUGUUUUGCAAGUGGCUUUUAUAAAAGUCUUGCUAAAGUCUUCCCAUAUUACUACACAGAUUUCCCUUACUCUGUAAUUCCCGAAUACUAUAUGGUAUGGUUAUAUCAUAUUUUAGUAAAUAAAUUCCUCAUUGGUAGUUAUUUAGAUUAUUUUUUACUCAGUUACAAAUAAUAAGUAUAUUUUUUGUCUUUUACAGACAUCCAUGUGCUUUAUUUAUUCCAUGAAAUAAAUAUAGCUGUAGCAGUAGAACUGUUAUUGAUAACAAUGUUUGAUAAAAUAUUUGAUAAAAUUGAUAUCAUUGUUAUUGAUAAAAUGAUAAAACUCUGAGUUCUGGAAUUAGAGCUUGAAUACUACCCUCCAUCACGGACAUGCUGUUUAACUUUGGCAAGCUAAUUGAUCUUACCAUUAAAAUGACAUGAAAUCUAAUGGUUGAGGAAUUCUGUAUCCUCUCCUAAUAAUGAAAUUCAUGUAAGGCAAUUACUUUGUACCUGUUGUACUUGGCACAUAGUAAGUGCUAAAAUAACCCUAUUGUUAACAUAAAUUUUUUCUUUAGUGAAUUUUCUGUUCAUUUCUUUUGGACAGUUUCCUUUUAUUUUAUUAAUUAAUUUUUGUAUCAAGAAUAUUUACUAGUGGAGUUCCUGUAGUGGCACAGCAGAAACAAAUCUGACUAGUACCCAUGAGGACACGGGUUUGAUCCCCGGCCUCCCCCAGUGGGUCAGGAAUCCAGCGUUGCCCUGAGCUGUGGUGUACAUUGCUGAUGGGACUUGAAUCCCGAGUUGCUGUGGUGGCGGUGUAGGCCAGCAGCUGUAGCUCUGAUUCGACCCCUAGCCUGGGAACUUCCAUGUGCCACAAAUGCAGCCUUUAAAAGAAAAAAAUCAAUAGUCCCUACUAUAAAUUAAAAAUAUUUUUUCUCAAUUUAUCAUGUCUAUAUUCUAGUUUAGUCAGAUAUGUUAGUCUUUUAUGAUUUCUGGUCUUAGUGUCAUGCUUAGAAAGGAAAUCUCUACUGCAAGAUUUUGUUAAUCCUGUAUUUUCAUCUAGAGAUCUUAGUUUUAUUUUCUAUGUUUAAAUAUUUUCCUCUUUUGUGUGUGGCUAGUACUGCUUCUCCUCCAUUCUCUCCUCUAUUCCCCCAAGGGACAUAUUGGAAAUGUUAGAGUCCUUUUUAAGUUAUCACCACAAUUGAGAAAGCACUACUGGUAUUCACUGGUCAGGAGCCAGGAAUGUCUGCCAGACUCCUUCUGUGCACAGAACUUCUCUCAGUAAAGAAUUUCCGCAUACUCUCAAUCUUACCUUUGCUUUCUGCCAACAACAAACAUCUGAAAACUAAGCAUCUAAGAAUUAAAAAUAAAAAUAACUGGAUUUAAUUCAUUGCUUUGCAGAUUAACUGAGUUUAAAAAUAGUAACACCUGAAUUACAGAGAAAACCUGAAUUUCAUGUACCGGGGGAGUGUUUAGAUUAGUACAACCAUUUUUCGUUGUCUUAUUGUUAAUUGCUCCUUUUCCAUGGUAGUAUAUUCUUGUUUAUUGCCACAAUACCCCUCAAAUAUAACGGAAAACAAAACUAGAAAAUUUCAGUUACCUCUCCUGUUUCUUGCGUUAUUUCUCCUCAUUGAGUACCAUUUGCACAGCUUGUUCACCUUACUCUCCUUUUUGAGCUGCUGAUUUUCUUUUUAUAGCUAGUGAUUUUUAUUUGUAUAGAUAGAUCUUCAUUAGUAGAAUUGAUGUCUCUUUUAGGUUUCUUCAGCAGAUUGGUAAGUCUGGUUGAAGGGAUUCCUCAGCAGAACUUGGCUGGGGAACUGAACUUUUAUGACUUAAUAUGAUCAAUUUGUAAAAUAGAAGUUCAGUCCUUUUCCAUACAUCACAAUGGUCAAAAAGUCAUUCCUUCUUAUUUUAUACUUUUUUUAUAAUAUAUGUAAGAUAAAGUAGUUUGAGUUCAUAGCCUUCUGAUGGUAAAAGUUUAAGAAUACUACUUAAAAGAGUUGAAAAAGAUAUAGCUUACAAAUAAUUUUCCAUAAACAUCAUUUCUCUUAGUGGGUUUCUUUAAAGGUAAUUACCCACAAGAGAAACUGAAAAAAAAAAAAAAAAAAAAAAA
rnacentral:lncRNA from 1 species